GACGAACGCUGGCGGCGUGCUUAACACAUGCAAGUCGAACGGAAAGGCCCUGCUUUUGUGGGGUGCUCGAGUGGCGAACGGGUGAGUAACACGUGAGUAACCUGCCCUUGACUUUGGGAUAACUUCAGGAAACUGGGGCUAAUACCGGAUAGGAGCUCCUGCUGCAUGGUGGGGGUUGGAAAGUUUCGGCGGUUGGGGAUGGACUCGCGGCUUAUCAGCUUGUUGGUGGGGUAGUGGCUUACCAAGGCUUUGACGGGUAGCCGGCCUGAGAGGGUGACCGGCCACAUUGGGACUGAGAUACGGCCCAGAGUCCUACGGGAGGCAGCAGGGGGGAAUAUUGCACAAUGGGCGGAAGCCUGAGGCAGCAACGCCGCGUGCGGGAUGACGGCCUUCGGGUUGUAAACCGCUUUCGCCUGUGACGAAGCGUGAGUGACGGUAAUGGGUAAAGAAGCACCGGCUAACUACGUG
rnacentral:rRNA from 1 species